rnacentral:rRNA from 1 species
UAGCGUAGGGGGCAAGCGUUGUCCGGAAUCAUUGGGCGUAAAGAGCGUGUAGGCGGUUCGGUAAGUCCGCUGUGAAAGUCGGGGGCUCAACCCUCGAAUGCCGGUGGAUACUGUCGGGCUAGAGUGCGGAAGAGGCGAGUGGAAUUCCUGGUGUAGCGGUGAAAUGCGCAGAUAUCAGGAGGAACACCAAUUGCGAAGGCAGCUCGCUGGGACGUAACUGACGCUGAGACGCGAAAGCGUGGGGAGCAAACAGG